GAUGAACGCUGGCGGCGUGCUUAACACAUGCAAGUCGAACGAACCUUCGGGUUAGUGGCGGACGGGUGAGUAACGCGUGAGAAUCUGCCCUCAGGAGGGGGAUAACGGCUGGAAACGGCCGCUAAUACCCCAUAUGCCGCGAGGUGAAACGAAUUUCGCCUGAGGAUGAGCUCGCGUCUGAUUAGCUAGUUGGUGGGGUAAAGGCCUACCAAGGCAUCGAUCAGUAGCUGGUCUGAGAGGAUGAUCAGCCACACUGGGACUGAGACACGGCCCAGACUCCUACGGGAGGCAGCAGUGGGGAAUUUUCCGCAAUGGGCGAAAGCCUGACGGAGCAAUGCCGCGUGAACGAUGAAGGCCUUCGGGUCGUAAAAACCUUUUAUGAUCAAGAAAGUUUAUUGAUCUGAUCAUGAAUAAGGGGCUCCAAACUCUGUGCCAGCAGCCGCGGUAA
rnacentral:rRNA from 1 species